GAAUAUUGCACAAUGGGCGCAAGCCUGAUGCAGCCAUGCCGCGUGUAUGAAGAAGGCCUUCGGGUUGUAAAGUACUUUCAGCGGGGAGGAAGGUGUUGUGGUUAAUAACCGCAGCAAUUGACGUUACCCGCAGAAGAAGCACCGGCUAACUCCGUGCCAGCAGCCGCGGUAAUA
rnacentral:rRNA from 1 species